ACUGACGAGAAGUGAUCAAAGCACUUCCUGCAGCUGAUGGGGCCGGGCGGGCAGGACGCGAUGGGAACUCACUUAACAGGUUGCAAAAACACAGCACUCAACAUUGGACCACCUUUCUGCUGCACGAAGCUGCGCAGCUGGUAAUACAGCCAAAGGCUGUCCUGCAAACCCAAAGCCUCAGAUGAAAGAGCUUCGUGGAGACCCAGAAGACGCCCAGCAGACACGGUAUUAAAGAGCAGGAAAUAUCAACACUCAAACCACGUCUCUGUUGACACUGCCAGCAACUGCAGAGCGGUGCCAGGGCACUGCAGGAGCCAUCCCAGCCUCAGCUUUGACAGCUGGCACGGGGCCGAGGCUGCUCUCAUCAGCGAGCCACUGCAACGAGAGGGCAGGCGCCGGCGAUGCAGACAGCUGCACACCCCGACUUACUUGGUACUGGGGCAUUUCAGCUUCCCUUUGGCCUCCAGGUACUCCUGGAGCUGCCUUCUCCGCUCUUCUGCAAAGAAACGGUAGGAAAACGCAGUGCACACACAGCCCUCGGAGCUCCGGGAACGAGCGUUAUCACCGGGCUCUUCCUGGAGCACAGCGCUGCUCCCAGACAGCCCACCAACCCCCGGCACACACGGGGUGCUGCCCACAGCCCGCUGGAGGGCUUUGCAGGCCUGGAGGACGGGAGAGGCGCUGCCUACGGCCCCGGGACACCACCAGCAAUGGGGCACCCACAGCUCCCCCAGGCUGUCCGUCCCAUCCAACCUCCAUUCCCCCCGCCCUAUCGCUGUCGCAUCACGUAAACACUCGCUCUCCAUCCUUCUGCUUCGACACAGGGCAGUAAGGCCGCCCCCUUCCCAACCACGGCCCCAGCCGGACCCCCUCCCCACACACCACAUCCCACUGCCGCCUCCGCAGCCCCCAACACCGCCCCUCAACCCACACUUCGUGGCCACCCCUCGGCCCCACAGGGCCCUGAGGCCUGCAGGGGGAUUCCUCUCCACAAGGACCCGAAUCCGCAGUCGGCCCAGGCUCCCGGCACCCCCCGUGCCUGAGCCCGGACCCAAGUUCGGGCCCGGAUCCCGGUCCGGGGCUCCGCUCCCCUCCCUCACCUUGCGCAGCCGCCAUGUCCUCAAUCCGCCCCAAACCACCGCCCCAACCACCGCCCCGCGCCCAUUGGCCGCAGCCUCUUUCAAACCGUCCAAUGGAGAACGCCGAAGGGAGGAGGGGAGGGAGGGGGCAGAAGGAGGCGGGGCGGAGACGGGGAGCUGUGAUUGGGCGAAGCGAGCGGAUGGGGCGGGUACAACGGAGCCCCGGGUGGGGCCGGAAGUGUGCGUCGGCCAAUCGCAUUCGUUUGUGUAAGAAAGCGGAUGUGGUGGAGAGGAGCGGGUCGGGGGCGCCGGGGGGAGCCUGGGAGGGGGCUGAGGGGACCUCGAUGGCUCUGGGAGGGGGCUGAGGGGACCUCGAUGGCUCUGGGAGGGUUCUGAGGGGGAUGCGGGAGGUCUCUAAGGUUUCUGAUGGGCUGUGGGGGGGUUCUGAUGGGGGGCUUUGAGAGGGAAUGGGGGAGAGCUCUUGAGGAGUGAUAGAGGGCUCUGAGGAGUGUCUUGGGGGGCUCUGAGGGGGACCUGAGGGGCGCAGCAGUCCCCGGUCUUUGCCCCCAGGUACCCACAGAGGAGGAGGAGAGCAGGAGGCGGCCUGGGCGUGGGGCACCGGUCCUGCUCUGCUGUGGGAACGCUGCUCCUCCGGCCGGAACCGCCCCGACCGAUCUCCAGAAGCACACACUGAGACACGCGUCCACAGGGAAGCUUUUAUUUCUCCAGUCACAAUAAAUACCUCCACCCCGACAAGGGGAGAUGAAAUAAAACCAUCAUAAUUACGGUAAAAAA